rnacentral:rRNA from 1 species
UACGUAGGGGGCAAGCGUUGUCCGGAAUCAUUGGGCGUAAAGAGCGUGUAGGCGGCCAGAUAAGUCCGCUGUGAAAUCUCGAGGCUCAACUUCGAGCUGUCGGUGGAAACUGUCUGGCUAGAGUCCGGAAGAGGAGAAUGGAAUUCCUGGUGUAGCGGAGAAAUGCGCAGAUAUCAGGAAGAACACCCGUGGCGAAGGCGGUUCUCUGGGACGGUACUGACGCUGAGACGCGAAAGCGUGGGGAGCGAACAGG